UACGUAGGGUGCGAGCGUUAAUCGGAAUUACUGGGCGUAAAGCGUGCGCAGGCGGUUCGCUGUGUCCGGUGUGAAAUCCCCGGGCUUAACCUGGGAAUGGCAUUUGGGACUGCAAGGCUCGAGUGCGGCAGAGGAGACUGGAAUUCCUGGUGUAGCAGUGAAAUGCGUAGAUAUCAGGAGGAACACCGAUGGCGAAGGCAGGUCUCUGGGCUGACACUGACGCUCAUGCACGAAAGCGUGGGGAGCAAACAGG
rnacentral:rRNA from 1 species